rnacentral:tRNA from 1 species
AUUGGAGUGGCAGAGACAGGAUUAAUGCAAAAGGCCUAAGCCCUUUAUACAGAAGUUCAACCCUUCUCUCCAAC